GAUGAACGCUAGCUACAGGCUUAACACAUGCAAGUCGAGGGGCAGCAUGGUCUUAGCUUGCUAAGGCCGAUGGCGACCGGCGCACGGGUGAGUAACACGUAUCCAACCUGCCGUCUACUCUUGGACAGCCUUCUGAAAGGAAGAUUAAUACAAGAUGGCAUCAUGAGUUCACAUGUUCACAUGAUUAAAGGUAUUCCGGUAGACGAUGGGGAUGCGUUCCAUUAGAUAGUAGGCGGGGUAACGGCCCACCUAGUCUUCGAUGGAUAGGGGUUCUGAGAGGAAGGUCCCCCACAUUGGAACUGAGACACGGUUCAAACUCCUACGGGAGGCAGCAGUGAGGAAUAUUGGUCAAUGGGCGAGAGCCUGAACCAGCCAAGUAGCGUGAAGGAUGACUGCCCUAUGGGUUGUAAACUUCUUUUAUAAAGGAAUAAAGUCGGGUAUGGAUACCCGUUUGCAUGUACUUUAUGAAUAAGGAUCGGCUAACUCCGUGCCAGCAGCCGCGGUAAUACGGAGGAUCCGAGCGUUAUCCGGAUUUAUUGGGUUUAAAGGGAGCGUAGAUGGAUGUUUAAGUCAGUUGUGAAAGUUUGCGGCUCAACCGUAAAAUUGCAGUUGAUACUGGAUAUCUUGAGUGCAGUUGAGGCAGGCGGAAUUCGUGGUGUAGCGGUGAAAUGCUUAGAUAUCACGAAGAACUCCGAUUGCGAAGGCAGCCUGCUAAGCUGCAACUGACAUUGAGGCUCGAAAGUGUGGGUAUCAAACAGG
rnacentral:rRNA from 1 species